rnacentral:rRNA from 1 species
AUAUCAGUCAUGCAUAGCAUAUCAAUAAGCGGAGGAAAAGUCAACUACCUACGCUUAGGAUGUUGAAGAUGUAGCACAUCAUGCACGCAUGACACACUGCAUAUCAAUAAGCGGAGGAAAAGAAACUAACAAGGAUUCCCUUAGUAACGGCGAGUGAAGCGGGAAGAGCUCAAAUUUGAAAUCUUCAAGGUUUUACCUUGACGAAUUGUAGUUUAAAGAAGUGUUUUCUGUUGAAGUUUUGGUAAAAGUUCUUUGGAAUAGGACAUCAUAGAGGGUGAGAAUCCCGUAUUUGACCAUUAUUUUCAGCUGUGUGAUACACUUUCAAAGAGUCGGAUUGUUUGGGAAUGCAGUCCAAAAUGGGUGGUAAAUUUCAUCUAAAGCUAAAUAUUGGCGAGAGACCGAUAGCGAACAAGUACCGUGAGGGAAAGAUGAAAAGAACUUUGAAAAGAGAGUUAAACAGUACGUGAAAUUGUCAAAAGGGAAGCGUUUGACACCAGUGUUGUUUUCUCGAAAAUCAAUUAAAAAAGUUGGAUUUUGUGUUGUAUUGACCUUAACAGCUUUCUGCACUCUUUUCCUGCUUUUUUAAUGCACUUUUCGUUUAACAAGUCAACAUCAGUUUCUUUUGUUGUAAAAGGGUCAUUGGAAGGUGGCUUUCUUUUCGGAGAAAGUGUUUAUAGCCUUUGAUCUCUGCAAUCGGAGAGACUGAGGUCUGCAGCGUAGAUCCUUCGGGGUUAGAUACAUUUGUGCUAAGUUAUAACUUUUCAUAGACAACUUGUUGACUAUGUUUUAGUCAUGUAGCUUACUCGCUUAUGCUAUUUUACCUACGCUUAGGAUGUUGAAGAUGUAGCACAUCAU